rnacentral:rRNA from 1 species
CAAGUCGAACGAAAAGAGGGAAAGAGCUUGCUCUUUCCGGAAUUGAGUGGCAAACGGGUGAGUAACACGUAAACAACCUGCCUUCAGGAUGGGGACAACAGACGGAAACGACUGCUAAUACCGAAUAAGUCCAAGAGCCGCAUGGCCCAUGGAAGAAAAGGUGGCCUCUACCUGUAAGCUAUCGCCUGAAGAGGGGUUUGCGUCUGAUUAGCUGGUUGGAGGGGUAACGGCCCACCAAGGCGACGAUCAGUAGCCGGUCUGAGAGGAUGAACGGCCACACUGGAACUGAGACACGGUCCAGACUCCUACGGGAGGCAGCAGUGGGGAAUCUUCCGCAAUGGGCGAAAGCCUGACGGAGCAACGCCGCGUGAGUGAUGACGGCCUUCGGGUUGUAAAACUCUGUGAUCCGGGA